rnacentral:tRNA from 1 species
GCCUGGCUGGCUCAGUCAGUAGAGUAUGUGACUCUUGAUCUCAGGGUUUUUAGUUCGAGCCCAACGUUGGGUG